rnacentral:rRNA from 1 species
AUUGAACGCUGGCGGCAUGCUUUACACAUGCAAGUCGAACGGUAACAGGCCGCAAGGUGCUGACGAGUGGCGAACGGGUGAGUAAUGCAUCGGAACGUGCCCAGUCGUGGGGGAUAACGCAGCGAAAGCUGCGCUAAUACCGCAUACGAUCUAUGGAUGAAAGCGGGGGACCGUAAGGCCUCGCGCGAUUGGAGCGGCCGAUGUCAGAUUAGGUAGUUGGUGGGGUAAAGGCCCACCAAGCCAACGAUCUGUAGCUGGUCUGAGAGGACGACCAGCCCAACUGGGACUGAGACACGGCCCAGACUCCUACGGGAGGCAGCAGUGGGGAAUUUUGGACAAUGGGCGCAAGCCUGAUCCAGCAAUGCCGCGUGCAGGAAGAAGGCCUUCGGGUUGUAAACUGCUUUUGUACGGAACGAAACGGUCCUGGUUAAUACCUGGGGCUAAUGACGGUACCGUAAGAAUAAGCACCGGCUAACUACGUGCCAGCAGCCGCCGUAACAC